ACACAAAAAAAAGAGUAAAGGGGGCGAAAAUUGAAUUUUACAAUUUAUCCAGCUUCUCCAUUCCAACAGUUUUCUGCAUGCUUCUCCAUUUGCUAUCCCUUACUUUCCCUAUCUCCGGGCCCUGUAUUUACUUGUUGGCUUUUCCCCUUUUGUUUGCCAUUGCACAGCAAAGGCCUUUGGGCGAAUUUUUGGCUGUUUGUUGGUUUUCAAAUUUGCGGUAAAUCGGAAACGCGCCGUAAGUUAAAUGAACUCGCCCGCACCCCGUCGCAUUCAGACCGAACCGCAGGCCAAACCGACGACCGGACAUGAAACCAGAACCAUACACUACAGAAAAAGGAGAAGAGGACCUCAAGUCACCAUGAAAAUUGUAGAAUUUUAAAAGCCAUCAGGCUACAUACAUAUGUAUGUUUUUUCAAAAGUCAGAAAGUUCGCUUAUUUCUUUUAAAUGUUGUCCGUCAUUUCUUCGAGUGUUGUAGCGCCGCGUUGUAACAAUUCGUUUCCUAGUUGUCUUUCCGUUUCUUUCCAUUUAUUUACAUGUUGCUGCCUGUUAUUGUUUUUUAUUUUUAUUUAUUCCUUUUCGCCAUUUGUUUGCAGGAUUGCUGCCGGCUGGGAUGUUAAUCAGUGACCUGCGACCAGGAGCUUUGAUUUUUUUCGUUUUUGGGACCUAGACAAAUUUGCUUAAUUGCGUAUAAUUUGUGGCGAGAAAGGUCGACCAAAGGACCGAAUAGGAAACGGUCAAAGAAAUUAAUAUAAUGCAGAAAUUGUUGGGAAUGCGAACUCGCUUUAAAACCCACCCAGGUGGAGCCCAAAUAAAACCGCUUUUGGGCGCACACGCAUUCUUUGCAAUGAAUUAUAAGCGAAGGAUUAGAACGAGCAGCCGUACAAAACGCUAGGGCUUCCCUGAUGGAAAUUAUGAAUGGAAAAACUGGGUGGAAAAAUAAAUCUGCUUGGAAUUGAAUUCGAGCGACAACAAGGAGAACUCCUGACAUGUGUGUAUGGGUCCACUGAAAUUGCAGAUAAAUUUAUUGAAAUGAUUCUGAAAGCGAGUGCUGCCGCCAUCCUGCCCCUUGGCAUACACAGCAAACAUUGUUAGCUCCACCUUCAAAUCAUUCCUACUUUAGGGGUGCUCCAUAUCGUCCGCCUGCAAGCGUCUCUCAGGUGCAUGAAUUCUGCGCUAGAUGAGGAAAAAUAUUGAUGAUUUGCCAAAUGUGUAUUGAAAAGGUAAAAGCUAUUGAAUUGCUAGUGCAUCAGAGCAACUACACUUUGCAUGUUAGUCCAUGAGUAAGCGUACACAUGUGGAUCUCAGUUUAGGGGGAACAUGGAAAACGUAUUAGUAACCGGAGCAAUUGUUGCUCAGAAAAGUAGAGAGAAGCAUAUUUUUCUCGUUCGCCAGAUUUUAUGGCAAGGAUUUUCAACGCACAGCAAGCGAGUUUUAAAUUUCAGCAAUUUGGGAUUAAAACUCGCCACAUUAAGCAAAAACAAAACGUCAGCAGUGGAGACUGAAGGGGGUCGUCGGGCUGCCUUGUUUCCCCAACGUUUCCAGCAUCCCGCCUGCUCCACUGGCUAUUCAUAACCGAAGUGUGUGUGUUUGUGAAGGGCGUGGAAAAGGGAGGAAUAGGGGGCACAGGGGAAACUAUCAUUGCCGUUGUCGCUGGCUGUGCUGCAAAUUACAAGACCCGACCCGGGACCUGCUGCGUUGCAAUCUCAACCGCCGCCCGCCCUCCGCCAAAUGAGAUUGGGCGGCAACCUGUUGCGAGGACCCUGCUCCUUGCUUUAAUUUUUGCACAUUUAAAAGGAAAGGGAGGGGUGGGCAAAACGGUAGCCAGGAAGCACACAAUUAAGUUAUAAGUUGCUGAAAUUAAAUGAAAACAGUGGGAAUAUUGAAA